UUUGACUUGCUGGCAAUUUAAAUAGCCACAUGAUCUGCUACUUGUUUCUUCAUGCCUUUCCACCAAUACAACUCUUUCAAAUCUAGAUACAUUUUGGUAGCACCUGGGUGGAUAAAUUACCUCGAACUGUGAGCUUCAUCCAUUAUGCCCUUCCUAAGACAACCUACAUCAUGCACACAUAACCGAUCAUUCAACUUCAAAACUCCAUCACUUCCUAGAGUGAAAGCAAUGAUUUCUUGGUUUCUAACUCCUUUUUUAAUUUCACUAAGUACAAAUCUUCGUCUUGCUUAGCCUUAACAUGUG
rnacentral:lncRNA from 1 species